rnacentral:sRNA from 1 species
GACGAUGAGAAGGCGCCAAGCCAAAUAA